UACGAAGGGGGCUAGCGUUGCUCGGAAUCACUGGGCGUAAAGCGCACGUAGGCGGCUUUGUAAGUUAGAGGUGAAAGCCUGGGGCUCAACCCCAGAAUUGCCUUUAAGACUGCAUCGCUUGAAUCCAGGAGAGGUGAGUGGAAUUCCGAGUGUAGAGGUGAAAUUCGUAGAUAUUCGGAAGAACACCAGUGGCGAAGGCGGCUCACUGGACUGGUAUUGACGCUGAGGUGCGAAAGCGUGGGGAGCAAACAGG
rnacentral:rRNA from 1 species